rnacentral:rRNA from 1 species
UACAGAGGGUGCAAGCGUUAAUCGGAAUUACUGGGCGUAAAGCGCGCGUAGGUGGUUUGUUAAGUUGGACGUGAAAUCCCCGGCUCAACCUGGGAAUUGCGUUGGAGACUGCAAGGCUGGAGUCUGGCAGAGGGGGGUGAGAAUUCCACGUGUAGCAGUGAAAUGACGUAGAGAUGUGGAGGAACACCGAUGGCGAAGGACAGC